rnacentral:lncRNA from 10 species
AAUGGUAGAGUAAAUUAAUUCAUCUGUGGUGGUACUUUGGUUGGUAAUAGUAAUAUUGAAGUUAAGGAACCCUGAAAUUUAAAAAGUUGCUUUAAAAGACAUAUCAGGUGGGUUGAUUGUGCCCAUCAGGAAAUUCUGCAGAGGGCUUUGUGGUUAGUAUCAAGAUUAUAACUCUAGGCUGGGCGCAGUGGCUUACAUCUGUAAUUCCAGCACUUUGGGAGGCUGAGGCAGGCAGAUCACUUGAGGUCAAGAGUUCAAGACAGACUCCAUCUCAAAAAAAAUAAAAUUAUAACUCUAGGCUGGUCGUGGUGACUCACACCUAUAAUCCUAGUACUUUGGGAUGCCAAGGCAGGAAGAUUGCUUGAAGUCAGGAGUUUGAGACCAGCCUGGACAACAAAGUGAGACCCGGCCCCACAAGAAGUUAAAAAAUAAAAAAUAUUAGCCAGGUGCGAUGGUGUCCACCUGUAGUCCCAGCUACUCGAGAGGCUGAGGUGGAGGAACACUUGAGCCCAGGAGUUUGAGGCUACAGUGAAAUAUGAUUUCACCAUUGAACUCCAGCCUAGGUGGCAGAGUGAGACCCUGUCUCCUAACAAAGAGAUUAUAGCUAUAGGGAUUCACUUAGAUUUUGUAACAGCACAAAACACUUUUAUUUAGUACGGGUAUAGAGAGAUGUUACUUGCCUGUAGUUUUUUCUUCUUAGAUUAUGUAUCAUCUUCUAGCCCAAAGUACACAGACUAUGCAUUGGUUCCAUUAAGGAAAAUAAAAAUUACAAAUAUUCUUUUUAUGACUGGUAUAAUAGAAAAUGUAUAGCUGUUUAUUAGACCUUAUUUUGCAUUUUGUUUAAAAUUACAACUUUGACCAUAAAACGUGUGGUGUUUAUUCUUUCAAAUAUUUCCAUGAAAUAUUAUCCUCCUUCCAGAUGAAGAAUUAAAAUUGUUCUUAUAAGUUGUAAUAAUUUAUAGAUCACAUGAUUACAAAGUAGGAACCCUGAAACUAGUAGAAGAUUUCAUUCUUUUUGUUUAGCUUUUGUAUCAUUAUGAAAGAUGUGAUUUGAACCUUAACAUUUAUUACCCUUUAAGGGCAGAGCAACUUUGUUCCCAGUUUUCAAGGUCUAAAAAUUUCUUGUUUUGGUUGUGGUGAAGGCAACUGAGUUAUAUUUAACUUUAGCAUUUAGGAAUGGUGUUAGACUAGACUUUAACUUAUUUUCAUUAGACCUUUUAGAUCUGCAAUAUGUAAAACCUUUUAAAUCUUAAUGUAUUGGUGACUGAGUGACAUGUCAGUAAAUAAAUGAACCAUGUUUAUUAUACUUCAUGAUAUCUUUGUACCCUUUAAUGUUAUGAAAAAGUAUGUUUGUUUAUGUGCAUGUUGGGGGAGUACAGGAGUUGGACAGGUAGAGUUUUCAAUUCUAGCCCUCAAAUUCAUCUGUGGUGGUACUUUGGCAACUUUUUAAUAUGGUGUGUAAACAUUUGUGUUUAAUAUAGGCGAAAAGUUUUAGGAAAAUUCAGAGAUAAUAAAGACAUUGGACUGCUCUCAAAGAACGUGUGGGUGGGAGGUGGGGGCACAUACAGAUAAGUACACUAAAGUCUAUAUAAAACAAUAUAGUAAGUACACAGCAGUCCCCCUUAUCUGUGAGGGUUAUAUUCCAAGAUCCCCAAUGGAAACCUGAAGCCACAGAUAGUACCAAACCUAUAUUUGCUGUGUUUUUUUCCUGUAUAUACAUACUUAUGAUAAAGUUUAUAUUAUAAAUUAGGUACAGUAAGACAGGGUCCCCAACCAGUUGGUCUGCGGCCUGGUAGGAACCGUGGGCUGCACUACGGGAGGUGAGCCAGUGGGCAAGUGAGCGAAGCUUCAUCUGUAUUUACAGCUGCCUCCCAUCACUUCCAUUACCAUCUGAGCUCUGCCUCCUGUCAGAUCAGCAGCGGCAUUAGAUUCUCAUAAGAGUGCGAACCCUAUUCUCAGCUGUGU